rnacentral:rRNA from 1 species
GACGAACGCUGGCGGCGUGCUUAACACAUGCAAGUCGAACGGAAAGGCCCUGCUUUUGUGGGGUGCUCGAGUGGCGAACGGGUGAGUAACACGUGAGUAACCUGCCCUUGACUUUGGGAUAACUUCAGGAAACUGGGGCUAAUACCGGAUAGGAGCUCCUGCUGCAUGGUGGGGGUUGGAAAGUUUCGGCGGUUGGGGAUGGACUCGCGGCUUAUCAGCUUGUUGGUGGGGUAGUGGCUUACCAAGGCUUUGACGGGUAGCCGGCCUGAGAGGGUGACCGGCCACAUUGGGACUGAGAUACGGCCCAGACUCCUACGGGAGGCAGCAGUGGGGAAUAUUGCACAAUGGGCGGAAGCCUGAUGCAGCAACGCCGCGUGCGGGAUGACGGCCUUCGGGUUGUAAACCGCUUUCGCCUGUGACGAAGCGUGAGUGACGGUAAUGGGUAAAGAAGCACCGGCUAACUACGUGCCAGCAGCCGCGGUGAUACGUAGGGUGCGAGCGUUGUCCGGAUUUAUUGGGCGUAAAGGGCUCGUAGGUGGUUGAUCGCGUCGGAAGUGUAAUCUUGGGGCUUAACCCUGAGCGUGCUUUCGAUACGGGUUGACUUGAGGAAGGUAGGGGAGAAUGGAAUUCCUGGUGGAGCGGUGGAAUGCGCAGAUAUCAGGAGGAACACCAGUGGCGAAGGCGGUUCUCUGGGCCUUUCCUGACGCUGAGGAGCGAAAGCGUGGGGAGCGAACAGGCUUAGAUACCCUGGUAGUCCACGCUGUAAACGGUGGGUACUAGGUGUGGGGUCCAUUCCACGGGUUCCGUGCCGUAGCUAACGCUUUAAGUACCCCGCCUGGGGAGUACGGCCGCAAGGCUAAAACUCAAAGGAAUUGACGGGGCCCCGCACAAGCGGCGGAGCAUGCGGAUUAAUUCGAUGCAACGCGUAGAACCUUACCUGGGUUUGACAUGGAUCGGGAGCGCUCAGAGAUGGGUGUGCCUCUUUUGGGGUCGGUUCACAGGUGGUGCAUGGCUGUCGUCAGCUCGUGUCGUGAGAUGUUGGGUUAAGUCCCGCAACGAGCGCAACCCUUGUUCACUGUUGCCAGCACGUUAUGGUGGGGACUCAGUGGAGACCGCCGGGGUCAACUCGGAGGAAGGUGGGGAUGACGUCAAGUCAUCAUGCCCCUUAUGUCCAGGGCUUCACGCAUGCUACAAUGGCUGGUACAGAGAGUGGCGAGCCUGUGAGGGUGUGCGAAUCUCGGAAAGCCGGUCUCAGUUCGGAUUGGGGUCUGCAACUCGACCUCAUGAAGUCGGAGUCGCUAGUAAUCGCAGAUCAGCAACGCUGCGGUGAAUACGUUCCCGGG